rnacentral:rRNA from 1 species
GGGUUAGUAGGUUGGUCAUGCCUCCGGUAUGUACUGGUCUCACUGAUUCCUCCUUCCUGAUGAGCCGUAAUGCCAUUAAUUUGGUGUUGCGGGGAAUUUGGACUGUUACUUUGAAAAAAUUAGAGUGUUUAAAGCAGGCCUAUGCCCGAAUACACUAGCAUGGAAUAAUGAAAUAGGACGUUUGAUUCUAUUUUGUUGGUUUCUAGGAUCGACGUA